CCUUCUUUCAAGACUCAAAAUGUUGUUGUAACAUUUUAGUGAUUUAACGUUUAACGCUCAUCGGGACCCGCUAAUCUGAAGACGAGCCUCUCCCAGCCUGACCGGAAGUGACCCCCAGUUAUAGGGAAAAGGGAUUUGGAAACUACAAUCUCGUGCCCAACUAACAGAUUCCUCAGAACAAAUAAAGUCAAUCUCAGACAUGUGAGAUCCUAGAUCAUCUGCCUUUUCCACUU